rnacentral:lncRNA from 1 species
UAGAAAGUGGCUUUAGCAGCAGAAACAGAGGAGGAAAAUGUAGAGAGGAGGGAGUGAAAAGAUGCCAGGUCCGCAGGGAGGCUAGUUUUCCUCCAUUUCCGCUCGGCUGCCCGGAGCCCUGUUCUGUGAGCUCGCAAUGAGUCGUCAAGCCACGGAGCAGGAGGGGAGGACCGAGCCAGUCGGGAGGAUAUGGGACAUAGAGAGUCAAAGGAUGCAGAAAGGGAGGAGAGGAGGGUUGAGGAGACAGAAUCAGGAGAUUGGUUGGAGAAGGAUUGAGCAGAGGGAAGAGAUGAUGGGAUGGAAGAGGAGAGUGUAGCAGGAGAGAGAGAGCGAAGGUUGCGACGGCGCAAUACCAUCUGAGUAGGGGCAGAUUGAGUAGUGUUGGAGGAGAGCGAGAGGGAAAAGGAUACAAGGUAGUGAUCGGCGACUUGGAGGGGAGUUGCAGUGAAAUUAGUAGAAGAACAGCAUCUAGUGAAGAUGAGGUCAAGCGUAUUGCCUGCCUUGUGAGUAGGGGGAGAGGGUGAGGUCAAAAGAGGAGAGGAGUGGAAAGAAGGAGGCAGAGAGAAAUUAGUCAAAGGUAGACGUAGGGAGGAUAAAGUCACCCAGAACAAUGAGGGGUGAGCCAUCCUCAGGAAAGGAACUUAUCAAGGCGUCAAGCUCAUUGAUGAACUCUCCAAGGGAACCUGGAGGGCGAUAAAUGGUAAGGAUGUUAAGCUUGAAUGGGCUAGUGAUUGUGACAGCAUGGAAUUCAAAGGAGGAGAUAGACAGAUGGGUCAGGGGAGAAAGAGAGAAUGUCCACUUGGGAGAGAUGAGGAUUCCAGUGCCACCACCCCGCUGACCAGAUGCUCUCGGGGUGUGCGAGAACACGUGGUCGGACGAGGAGAGAGCAGUAGGAGUAGCAGUGUUUUCUGUGGUAAUCCAUGUUUCCGUCAGCGCCAAGAAAUCGAGGGACUGGAGGGUAGCAAAGGCUGAGAUGAACUCUGCCUUGUUGGCCGCAGACCGGCAGUUCCAGAGGCUGCCGGAGACCUGGAACUCCACGUGGGUCGUGCGCGCUGGGACCACCAGAUGGAGAGGCGCGGGAGUUAGACCACUAGAAAGCAGCAUGCAGAGAGACUGGGGCCGGUGUUCACAAAGCAUCUCAGAGCAACACUGUAUGCUGUGUCAUGGGCCUGGAUGGUGACGCACAUCUUCUUCAAGCUUCCUGACAAUACUGGGUCCUUCAGUGGUUCCGGAAGCAAGGGCGUUACCUGGGAGAACAGCAACAAUCUCACUGUCUCUCGCAGCCAUUCUGUCAACAUGUAUUGUAUGUAACCACUCAUUCAUACAAACUUCUAUGGACACAAGCACUGACUUAUUCAAUUUGUCCCGUUCUUUAACCAUUUCUGGGAUGUAUAUUGUAGUUGACACCUGUAUGAUGUGCCUGAAAUAUUACUAAAUAUGUAUUCACUUUGAAAUGUUUUUUUUUUUUUUUUUUUUACCUUUUGAAUGUUAAGUUAUUUGCCUUGACGUUUAACCUCCCUGGGCAAGGUAGUCAACAGCCAGUGGAAUCGCGUGGCGCGAAAUACAAAUACCUCAUAAAUGCUAUAACUUUACAGCGAAAGCAAAACAUUAGAUUAUGUCAGAGUACCCUGCCAAAAAUAAUCACACAGCCAUUUUCAAAGCAUGCAUAUAUGUCACAAAAACCAAAACCACAGCUAAAUGCAGCACUAACCUUUGAUGAUCUUCAUCAGAUGACACUCCUA